rnacentral:rRNA from 1 species
GACGAACGCUUGCGGCGUGCCUAAUGUAUGCAAGUCGAGCGGUGAAGGAGCUUCGGCUCCUGAUCAGCGGCGAACGGUUGAGUAACACGUAGGCAACCUGCCCCGAAGUGGGGGAUAACUCAGCGAAAGUUGGGCUAAUACCGCAUGUGGAAGCCGACUGCCUGGUUGGUUUUCCAAAGCAGCAAUGCGCUUCGGGAUGGGCCUGCGGCCUAUCAGCNGUUGGUGGGGUAACGGCCUACCAAGGCUCCGACGGGUAGCUGGUCUGAGAGGAUGGUCAGCCAGACAGGGACUGAGACACGGCCCUGACUCCGUUUGGGGGCAGCAAUGAGGGAUAUUGCACAAUGGGCGAAAGCCUGAUGCAG